UAGUCGCUGAAACAAUUAUGUACGGGGGAACCAAAUUGAAUUGUAAAAAUUCAGGGGUGAAUCCUUUUUAGGUAGGGCUAUUCAAUAUCCCGAAUCCGGCAGCUAACCUCGUAAGCGUCAUUGAAAGGG
rnacentral:sRNA from 1 species